rnacentral:rRNA from 1 species
GCGUAAAGGGUGCGUAGGCGGUCUUUCAAGUCAGGAGUGAAAGGCUACGGCUCAACCGUAGUAAGCUCUUGAAACUGGGCGACUUGAGUGCAGGAGAGGAGAGUGGAAUUCCUAGUGUAGCGGUGAACUGCGUAGAUAUUAGGAGGAACACCAGUUGCGAAGGCGGCUCUCUGGACUGUAACUGACGCUGAGGCACGAAAGCGUGGG